ACCAGACUCUCCACUAGGCUGGCUUCAAAGCCCAUCUGCAACACAGUCUGCACCACCGGAGAAAGCAUGGCUGAUGACGCCCCCAGACCUCCGACCAUAUCUGGGUGAUGAGAUCAAGGGAGAGAUCCUGAGGAGAUAAGAGGAAUAAGGUUCUCACCACAGUCUCACCCAGAUGGAAAUGAGCAUCCUGUAUGUUGCUGAUAUAGUCCUGUCCUCUCGACUGGAUUAAGAACUCACAUCUGAAAAAAACACACAAAGAGGCUGCUUUAUAAUCUAUCUAUCUAUCUAUCUAUCUAUCUAUCUAUCUAUCUAUCUAUCUAUCUAUCUAUCUAUCUAUCUAUCUAUCUAUCUAUCUAUCUAUCUAUCUAUCUAUCUAUCUAUCUAUCUAUCUAUCUAUCUAUCUGUUUUGUAUUAUUGUCAUGUAGGGGCUGUACAGUGGCUUGGUGGUGAGCACUAUCACCUCACAGCUAGAAAACAUGCCAAAAACAUGCUGAGGAUAAUUGGUGAUUCUAAAUUGCCCAUAGGUUUGAAUAUGAGUGUGCUUGUUUGACUACCCUGUGAUAGAAUGGUGACCUGUCCUGGGUGUCCCCUGUAUUCACACCAAGUGAGCUGGGAUAGAAUCCAGCCUCCCUACAAUCCUAACGAGGAUGAAGCGGUAUAUAGAUAAUGGAUGGAUGAGUGGAUUAUUGUAAAGUGCAACCAUGUCCUGUUCAGAAAAUAUAUCUAGAUAAGUUUUGUAUUAUAAUUCUUUCUUAAUUUAUGUGUGAUCAAAGAUGGGACAUUUCAUGAAGGCUUCAGUUUUAUUUCACAUUUAGAUUCUCCCAUAAUCCAGGACUGUUUGAUCUACUUGUCCGAUAUUGCAGAUUUUGAAUCAACGGCAGUAGGAGAAAUAACGAAAAAAUCUCAUGCUUUUAUUUUUUCAUAGUUCCAGAGAUACUGUCAUUCAAAUAUCAUGUCAAAUUUCAAUGCAAAUGUGUGUCGACAGGCAAUAUCCUAUCAUUCCUAUCUCUGAAAGUGUUUAAUAUAUCAAUCUCAAAUUUCAAAGAUAUCUUUGUGUAUUUAUGUAUUUUAUGCAAUAGAAAUGACAGGCAAUCAGAGAUGAUCAAACAGAAAAUGUUGUAAAAAUUUAAUGUGGAUAUCUCUUUAUGACUCUGGCUAUAUGUUUGGGGUCAUUAUCUCAUUCAGUAGAAUGCAUUUGGGACUGCUUAGCUGCCUCCCAGAUGAUAAUGCAUGACAGAUAAGAAUCUAGAAAUGCCUAAAAUCUUUACACAGUAACUUAUUUAUAUGAAAAAUGUCUAAUAAUAAACUCAGCUGAUGUCUUUA